UUUUUUCUGAGCUGAGACUUGGUUUGCUGCUUCCCUCCAGCCAAGGACCUCAUCCAGCCUCUUCCAAAGGACCUUAAACGUGGAGAUGAUUUUUUUGCAGUGAUGAUCUUAAACAGGGAUCAGCUGUGCCAGAGGAGGGAUUUUAACCCAUCCUGGAGCUCUGCUGCCUCAUGGGUGCCCUGGCUAUCCUGGUAUCCUGGAGAUAAAAAACCUUUCCACCUGCUGGAGGUCUCAAACCUUUGCUUUGUCCCUGUGCAGCCUUACCACAACCAGCUGAAGUUCAGGGCCUCAAAAGGAGGGAGUGAUUUUGCCCAACGUUUGAAUUUGAUCCAACAUCCCUGCCUGGCGGUGUUCCAUCAAACUGCUCCUGGUCCGAGGGUGCUGCUGCCUCCAGAGGGACACGGCUGGCUCCUGGACCAGGCUCUGUGUGGCUGCCAUGGAAACGGCCUGAAAUUAGGAAAUCAAUUAAAGCUGGAAAAAGUGCUAUCA